GUCUAUGACCAUGCCACCCUGAACGUGCUGGAUCUCAUCUGAUCUCGGAAGCUAAGCAGGGUCGGGCCUGGUUAGCACUUGGAUGGGAGACCACCUAGGAAGACCAGGUGUUGUAGGUG
rnacentral:rRNA from 1 species